UAAGUUAUUAAGGGCGCACGGUGGAUGCCUUGGCACUAGAAGCCAAUGAAGGACGUUACUAACGACGAUAUGCUUUGGGGAGCUGUAAGUAAGCUUUGAUCCAGAGAUUUCCGAAUGGGGAAACCCAGCAUGAGUUAUGUCAUGUUAUCGAUAUGUGAAUACAUAGCAUAUCAGAAGGCACACCCGGAGAACUGAAACAUCUUAGUACCCGGAGGAAGAGAAAGAAAAUUCGAUUCCCUUAGUAGCGGCGAGCGAAACGGGAAGAGCCCAAACCAACAAGCUUGCUUGUUGGGGUUGUAGGACACUCUAUACGGAGUUACAAAGGACGACAUUAGACGAAUCAUCUGGAAAGAUGAAUCAAAGAAGGUAAUAAUCCUGUAGUCGAAAAUGUUGUCUCUCUUGAGUGGAUCCUGAGUACGACGGAGCACGUGAAAUUCCGUCGGAAUCUGGGAGGACCAUCUCCUAAGGCUAAAUACUCUCUAGUGACCGAUAGUGAACCAGUACCGUGAGGGAAAGGUGAAAAGCACCCCGGAAGGGGAGUGAAAUAGAACCUGAAACCGUGUGCUUACAAGUAGUCAGAGCCCGUUAAUGGGUGAUGGCGUGCCUUUUGUAGAAUGAACCGGCGAGUUACGAUUUGAUGCAAGGUUAAGCAGUAAAUGUGGAGCCGUAGCGAAAGCGAGUCUGAAUAGGGCGUUUAGUAUUUGGUCGUAGACCCGAAACCAGGUGAUCUACCCUUGGUCAGGUUGAAGUUCAGGUAACACUGAAUGGAGGACCGAACCGACUUACGUUGAAAAGUGAGCGGAUGAACUGAGGGUAGCGGAGAAAUUCCAAUCGAACCUGGAGAUAGCUGGUUCUCUCCGAAAUAGCUUUAGGGCUAGCCUCAAGUGAUGAUUAUUGGAGGUAGAGCACUGUUUGGACGAGGGGCCCCUCUCGGGUUACCGAAUUCAGACAAACUCCGAAUGCCAAUUAAUUUAACUUGGGAGUCAGAACAUGGGUGAUAAGGUCCGUGUUCGAAAGGGAAACAGCCCAGACCACCAGCUAAGGUCCCAAAAUAUAUGUUAAGUGGAAAAGGAUGUGGCGUUGCCCAGACAACUAGGAUGUUGGCUUAGAAGCAGCCAUCAUUUAAAGAGUGCGUAAUAGCUCACUAGUCGAGUGACACUGCGCCGAAAAUGUACCGGGGCUAAACAUAUUACCGAAGCUGUGGAUUGUCCUUUGGACAAUGGUAGGAGAGCGUUCUAAGGGCGUUGAAGCAUGAUCGUAAGGACAUGUGGAGCGCUUAGAAGUGAGAAUGCCGGUGUGAGUAGCGAAAGACGGGUGAGAAUCCCGUCCACCGAUUGACUAAGGUUUCCAGAGGAAGGCUCGUCCGCUCUGGGUUAGUCGGGUCCUAAGCUGAGGCCGACAGGCGUAGGCGAUGGAUAACAGGUUGAUAUUCCUGUACCACCUAUAAUCGUUUUAAUCGAUGGGGGGACGCAGUAGGAUAGGCGAAGCGUGCGAUUGGAUUGCACGUCUAAGCAGUAAGGCUGAGUAUUAGGCAAAUCCGGUACUCGUUAAGGCUGAGCUGUGAUGGGGAGAAGACAUUGUGUCUUCGAGUCGUUGAUUUCACACUGCCGAGAAAAGCCUCUAGAUAGAAAAUAGGUGCCCGUACCGCAAACCGACACAGGUAGUCAAGAUGAGAAUUCUAAGGUGAGCGAGCGAACUCUCGUUAAGGAACUCGGCAAAAUGACCCCGUAACUUCGGGAGAAGGGGUGCUCUUUAGGGUUAACGCCCAGAAGAGCCGCAGUGAAUAGGCCCAAGCGACUGUUUAUCAAAAACACAGGUCUCUGCUAAACCGUAAGGUGAUGUAUAGGGGCUGACGCCUGCCCGGUGCUGGAAGGUUAAGAGGAGUGGUUAGCUUCUGCGAAGCUACGAAUCGAAGCCCCAGUAAACGGCGGCCGUAACUAUAACGGUCCUAAGGUAGCGAAAUUCCUUGUCGGGUAAGUUCCGACCCGCACGAAAGGCGUAACGAUUUGGGCACUGUCUCAACGAGAGACUCGGUGAAAUCAUAGUACCUGUGAAGAUGCAGGUUACCCGCGACAGGACGGAAAGACCCCGUGGAGCUUUACUGUAGCCUGAUAUUGAAAUUCGGCACAGCUUGUACAGGAUAGGUAGGAGCCUUUGAAACGUGAGCGCUAGCUUACGUGGAGGCGCUGGUGGGAUACUACCCUAGCUGUGUUGGCUUUCUAACCCGCACCACUUAUCGUGGUGGGAGACAGUGUCAGGCGGGCAGUUUGACUGGGGCGGUCGCCUCCUAAAAGGUAACGGAG
rnacentral:rRNA from 1 species